rnacentral:rRNA from 2 species
CUAUACAUGCAAGUCGAACGCGUUGGCCCAAUUGAUUGAUGGUGCUUGCACCUGAUUGAUUUUGGUCGCCAACGAGUGGCGGACGGGUGAGUAACACGUAGGUAACCUGCCCAGAAGCGGGGGACAACAUUUGGAAACAGAUGCUAAUACCGCAUAACAACGUUGUUCGCAUGAACAACGCUUAAAAGAUGGCUUCUCGCUAUCACUUCUGGAUGGACCUGCGGUGCAUUAGCUUGUUGGUGGGGUAAUGGCCUACCAAGGCGAUGAUGCAUAGCCGAGUUGAGAGACUGAUCGGCCACAAUGGGACUGAGACACGGCCCAUACUCCUACGGGAGGCAGCAGUAGGGAAUCUUCCACAAUGGGCGCAAGCCUGAUGGAGCAACACCGCGUGAGUGAAGAAGGGUUUCGGCUCGUAAAGCUCUGUUGUUAAAGAAGAACACGUAUGAGAGUAACUGUUCAUACGUUGACGGUAUUUAACCAGAAAGUCACGGCUAACUACGUGCCAGCAGCCGCGGUAAUACGUAGGUGGCAAGCGUUAUCCGGAUUUAUUGGGCGUAAAGAGAGUGCAGGCGGUUUUCUAAGUCUGAUGUGAAAGCCUUCGGCUUAACCGGAGAAGUGCAUCGGAAACUGGAUAACUUGAGUGCAGAAGAGGGUAGUGGAACUCCAUGUGUAGCGGUGGAAUGCGUAGAUAUAUGGAAGAACACCAGUGGCGAAGGCGGCUACCUGGUCUGCAACUGACGCUGAGACUCGAAAGCAUGGGUAGCG